AUCUAAGCGGGAAGCCUGCUUCGAGAUGAGUAUUCCCACCCACUUGAUGGGGUAAGGCUCCCAGUAGACGACUGGGUUGAUAGGCCAGAUCUGGAAGCCCGGUAACGGGUGGAGGUGACUGGUACUAAUAGGCCGAGGGCUUGUCCUCAGUUG
rnacentral:rRNA from 1 species